UCUCUGGUGGCUUUGAUGGUAAAGGAUCCACCUGUAAUGUGGGAGACCCAGGUUUGAUCCCUGGAUUGGGAA
rnacentral:tRNA from 1 species